GCUAUUGUAGCUUAACUCUAAAGCACAGCACUGAAAAUGCUGAGAUGGAUACACCCAAAUAGCA
rnacentral:tRNA from 1 species